rnacentral:rRNA from 1 species
GAUGAACGCUGACAGAAUGCUUAACACAUGCAAGUCAACUGUGGCGGACGGGUGAGUAACGCGUAAAGAACUUGCCUCACAGAUAGGGACAACAUUUGGAAACGAAUGCUUAUACCUGAUACUGUGAGAGAGCUUUGCGUCCCAUUAGCUAGUUGGAGAGGUAACGGCUCACCAAGGCGAUGAUGGGUAGCCGGCCUGAGAGGGUGAUCGGCCACAAGGGGACUGGGACACGGCCCUUACUGCUACGUGAGGCAGCAGUGGGUGAUAUUGGACAAUAGACCAAAGUCUGAUCCAGCAAUUCUGGGUGAAAGAUGAAGUUUUCGGAAUGUAAAGUGCUUUCAGUUGGGAAGCGGUACCAACAGAAGAAGUAACGGCUAAAUACGUGCCAGCAGCCGCGGUAAUUC